rnacentral:misc_RNA from 1 species
ACAGGAGUUUCUAAAACUUCUGGUAUGAAAUGCAUUUAUCCUUUUCAGGCAUAACCUGAUUGUCUCUUUUCUAUUUUGGUUAGGUGUCAGUAUAAUAGUGUAGUUCAGACCAUGUUGCUUGUAUGGCUCUAAGAUGAGAUUUAGCACUUGUUACAUAAUAUCCAACAAUCCACACAGUGCAAAUUUGAGCAAAUGAGGCGUGUGUGUGUGAGAAAGAAGAGUCUUAUUCCCAUAAAUCAUUUUUGACAAGGAAAAUUGUGCCUUCAAUAUAACGUUAUGUCUGCUGAUACAACACCUUCCUAGUGGCAAUCUGUGACUGGUAAAUAUGUAGUAGAUUGGAAAUUUUCCUAUUUGAUAACACUGUACAUACUUGUGAUUGAAUACCACAAUGGAGUCUUUACCAUGUGACUUGCUAUUAGGGCCUAAGCAUGGACUCAUACAACAUAUGAUAAUAUGGAAAUAUGCUUGUUAUUUGCAGUUAAUGUUGAUUCUGAUUCAUUACUCAAAUUCGGCCUAGUUGUGAUCUCUCCAGUCUCCAAGUUGUUUCAAUUUUUUUUAUAGCUAUUAACCUGAUGAAUUUAUCAAUUUUGCAGGAGCAUCAAACUAGUGAUUGCCAUUGUCCAAGUUGCGGUGUAUAUUAAAAGCAGAGCUCAUUAGUUGUGGAUGAGAUUUGAUUUGGAAAUCUUGAGCUCUUCUUCUCCAUAUGUUAGAGGCUAGGGUUAGAUCAUGUAUGU